AUUGAACGCUGGCGGCAGGCCUAACACAUGCAAGACGAGCGGAGCGGCGGACGGGUGAGUAAUGCCUAGGAAUCUGCCUGGUAGUGGGGGAUAACGUCCGGAAACGGGCGCUAAUACCGCAUACUAUCAGAUGAGCCUAGGACGGAUUAGCUAGUUGGUGGGGUAAAGGCCUACUAAGGCGACGUUCCGUAACUGGUCUGAGAGGAUGGUCAGUCACACGUGAACGGAGACACGGUCCAGACUCCUACGGGAGGCAGCAGUGGGGAAUAUUGGACAAUGGGCGAAAGCCGGAUCCAGGCAUGCCGCGUGUGUGAAGAAGGUCUUCGGAUUGUAAAGCACUUUAAGUUGGGAGGCGUUACCAACAGAAUAAGCACCGGCUAACUUCGUGCCAGCCGCCGCGGUAAUAC
rnacentral:rRNA from 1 species